rnacentral:rRNA from 1 species
UUCGCAAUGCCCGAAAGGGUGACGAAGCGACGUCGCGUGGGUGAUGAAGGCCUUUGGGUUGUAAAGCCCUGUCAGGAGUUAAGAAAUGUAAGUGCGCUAAUAUCGCAUUUAUUUGACGAAGGCUCCAAAGGAAGUCACGGCUAACUCUGUGCCAGCAGCCGCGGUAAUACAGAGGUGGCAAGCGUUGUUCGGAAUUAUUGGGCGUAAAGAGCACGUAGGUGGGUUUGUAAGUCAGAUGUGAAAGCCUCCUGUUCAACGGGAGGAUUGCAUCUGAAACUACAGAUCUUGAGUGUAGGAGGGGAGAAUGGAACUUCUGGUGGAGCGGUGAAAUGCGUAGAUAUCAGAAGGAACGCCGGCGGCGAAAGCGAUUCUCUGGCCUAUUACUGACACUCAGUGUGCGAAAGCUAGGGGAGCAAACGGGAUUAGAUACCCCGGUAGUCCUAGCCGUAAACGAUGGGCACUAAGUAGAGGGGUUU